UCAUAUGUGGGGGCCAACAGAGUUCGAAAGAGUAGUCUACAUAAACCACAACGCUCGUGGGCUUGGUCGCAUCAUAUGCUGUACAUGUAGGAUUUGUUACUGUUAUAAUUCGUUUGUAAUACCUUAUGCAGGUACCAUAAUUCCCCUUGGUCGCUUGAUGACGUUCGAAUUGUAGGCUCUUCUUAAAUCUAUUUAGUGGCCUUAAAUUAACGAGUUGAUCAGAAAUAUUUUGAACGGAAAAUUAAAAUAGUAAUAGACAUUGAUUAGGCUUCUAACAUAUCUUAUCUUAUAAGAUACAGGCGUGACUUCGAAAAACGUGCUUGUUUACAAAGUCGCAAGUGAGUACACUGUAAGGCCAAUUAGACUCGUUGGUGAAGAAGCCGUUACCUUUUCAAGAAUCCGGCUGAACAAGCACUUAUGAGAGUCGCUGGGGGGGGGGGGGGGGGGCUCUAGCGCUGUCUGUGACUGUGAUUAGGCUUCCAGCAUAUUGAGUAACAAGUUCUGAAUUGUGAAAACUAUUUACUAAGUCGAGAGUGUGUACACUGGAACGUCAAAUAGGCUCGUUGAUGAAGGAGCCGUUACCGUAGCAACAAUGCGGCUAUACAAGCACUUAUGACAGAGUCGCUAGUGGCUGUAGCGCUGUCUGUGACUGUGCUGUUGGCAGGACCUAAGAGUGGCUCUCAAGACGACGAUCUCGACUGUUGCAGGGAUGGUAAUGUGCCUUAAUUUAGGGACAUUCUGAAAUGAUACUCUACUCCUGAGUUCCCAGGGCUUCACUUGUAAGGUUGCCAACCCCUGCCCUAGAUGAACCCUGUAAAACCCACAACUGACACUGUAACAGCAUGGAAACCUUCACCCAGACAUCACCCUUCCCAAGAUGUCCAGAAAAAAAGAUUCUACUGUAGCCACUGAGCAUGCUACUAGCACGCCCAGGAAGUCUUCCAAGACUACUUCAUAGCCCAAGAAACAAAGUCUUCCAAGACUAUUUCUAACAACAACAAAACUCAUAAGAAAAAAAUGUGGGAUCUUAAUUCCUGCGAAUUUCAAUUCACUGCAAAAUGGUAGACCUUUUUUGUGUGUGUGUGUGCUCACCAUCUUCUGUCCAGAACUUAGUUCUCUUGUACU